CCAUCCUCAGAACCUGGGAAUCGGCUUUAUAUAAAGGAAAAUUCAGUUCUUACCAAUCUUAAAAGCCACCACUCCAGCAUAUAUUUGUCAUUUUCUUUUUGGGAGAUCUUACAGAUUGCUUAGCUAGAAAAAGAUAGAUCUUGCCAGUUCCUUUCUGGACACCUGUAUGUAGAAGCUGUGGGCAUGUGUGGAUCAGUCAUUGGAAUAUUUUUUAUAUUCUGGCAUGGACUGCGGAUUAACUUGGAUUUCCAGCUGAUUUAUUCAAUAUUUCGAGUCCAAUCAAAUCAUUUCUUUUUGCUAACAUGUACUACUUCGGGUCUAUAUCCUUCCAAUAUAAAUUAUACACACACACACACACAAUCAUGCAACUUGAUAUAAUCGGAUUCACGAGCUUAGUUAGUAGCCCAUAUGAUCUCAGAAGUUACCCUCAAACCAAAGAAUCAUCUUCGUGGGUUAAUCAAUUAUCUAACCCCUCCUUCAACUCCAUCUCUCUCUCUAUAUAUAUAUAUACCCUUUCCUCUCUUCAUCCGUAUCUUCACAGCAAAUUCACACACACAAAGUUUCUUGUGAUCCUGCUCGUUUUCAGUCUGUAUUUUUUAUUUUUUUCAUUUUAACGUGCUCCAACAAUUGAAGUCUAAGGUAUGUGUAUGUCGAGAAUAUUGAAGAGGUGUGAUACUGUUGUUGGCCAUCAGUUUUUUUUUUUUUUGGCCUUUGGUUUAACCACUAGUGGGUCUCUCCUAUUUAGCUCCACAAUGAUUAAUUCAGGUGGAUUUGUUUGCCUUAAUUACCGGGUCAUUCAUAUUCAUUCCUUUUCUUUACUCUUACUUCAUGGGUUAUUCCUUUUAGGGUUAGGGUUGGUCCAUUCAUACUCGUGAAAGAUCUGAUCAAGAUUAUCAGUCUAUAUUGGCCGAUGCGGCAGCAUCAAGAUUCACAAACUUUAAGGCUUGAGUUGGGGUGGUACACGGUCCCCUCCUUUACUCGAAAGGUUCCUUAAUUUCUGAUGGGAAUCUUGAUGAUGCUGCAUCGGCAAAUAUAUGACUAUUCUUCUUAAUUUACUGUUGCAUACCAAACAUGUACAACGAGCUCUGCAAUUUGAUCAAAGGUGGAGUGUAAGUUAAUUAUCUAACCAAAACCAUGAAGGUGGCUCGCCUUUGGUCUCCUCAUGCGCUUAAUGAACUUGUCUGAUUUAUCGGGGGGGAAAAGAACAAUGACUACAAUUAUUGUCUAUUUUAGAGAUCAUUUAGUUCUUAUGGUGGUGGCGCUAAGUACAGAUGAGUGAGUUUUCAAUCUCCAGUGAUAUUACAACGAAGGAAGGGAAUAGGAAAAGCAAGUUAAGGAAGGUACCAUGCAUGUAUAUGCUUAGUUUUGUUUUAUUUGAACUUAUUGAUGGAAAAUGUAAACCUAGAUUCAUUGCUAAAGAUCAAUGGUAACACAGAUGAUAUUUGAGUCAUUCAUGGCGCUGCUAGCCUAACUUGUGGCAGCCACGUACCAAUCUUAAUUUACAUUACUGAUAUAGCCGUUGACGAUAAUAGAUUCAGACUCUUUAGUUUAAAGGAUGACAUUAAGAGAAGAUGGAGAAGAGUUCGUAGCUCAAAAUAGGCAUCUUGUUUAUUCCUCUAAUACAUUCUUUAUUAUCUAUCAAUCGAUCCUCUCUUCUUUUGAUUCAAACGCAUAGUGUUCCAAGAAAAUAA